rnacentral:rRNA from 1 species
UGAGGAUUUGAUCCUGGUCCAGGAUGAACGCUGGCGGCGUGGAUAAGGCAUGCAAGUCGAACGAAGCAAUUUGCGAUUACAUCAAGAAUUGUUGAGUGGCGAACGAGUUAGUAUUACCUUGGCAUCUACCCCUGAGACGGAAAUAAUCCCGCGAAAGCGGGACUAAUGCCCGAUAGCAUCGUGCCUCACUAUUGUUCAGCACAAAGUCUAAAUUUUAAAUUAUAAAUUUUAAAUCAUUUUUUUAAAAUUUAAAAUUAAAAAUUGAAAAUUUCGUGCCGAGUAGCAGCGAGGCACGAUUAAAGUCGCAAGACACUUAGGGAGGAGCCUCGGUCCUAUCAGCUAGUUGGCGGGGUAAUGGCCCACCAAGGCUAUGACGGGUAGGGGACGUGAGAGCGUGACCCCCAACGACGGAACUGAGAUUAACGAUAGUCUCCUAAGAGAGUAAUCUCUUAGUAAAAUCUAGCUUAUAACGGUGAAAUCUCUGCGUGUGGAUAAUUUAUAUUCACAAGUUUUGGGGGUUGUACUACAAUACCCAAUAUGGAGACAACGCCGUGGGAAGUUAAUAGCAAAAAUGUUUCUGACCAGUAUAUCGCAGGAUUUUUGGAUGGCGAUGGGUCUAUUGUGGCGGCAAUUGAAAAACGUCCCGAUAGACGGCGCUUUCCUUAUCGCGUGCGAUUAAAGAUAAAUUUUACCCAACAUAUUCGACAUAAAAAUAUGAUGUUUCUUCUUCAGGAAGCAUUGGGUAAAGUCGGAUCUGUCAGAUUUAUUCGAACUCAUAAUCUUGCCGAAUUGGUCAUUCAAAAGCGGCAGGAUGUUAAACAUACUCUUGAACGCUUACUGCCGUACCUGAUUCUUAAACAGAGGCAGGCAAAAAUUAUGCUUGCUAUGAUUGAAAUAUUUGACCACGGAGUGGUCAAAGUUCGCAGUUCUCUUUCGGAUAAAGACUUUGAGAAAUUAUUCUCAAUGGCAAAAGAACUGCGAAAUCUUAAUGCAGGCGCAGGAGGCAAAAAGAACUAUGAGUUCAUUAACCCCGUAACGACUCAUUCCGAGUUUACUCGGAAUGGAUAGCCAGGAUUUAUCUUGGUUAUAACACGCUAGCCCCCUUGUACGAUCAAACGAGGGGUGAAGACAUAGUCUAUACCACAAGUGAUUGUGGACAAAUAUGACGGUCCGUACACCUACGGGUGGCUGCAGUCAAGAACAUUCGACAAUGGGCGAAAGCCUGAUCGAGCGACGCCGCGUGCAGGAUGAAGGCCUUCGGGUCGUAAACUGCUUUUAACUGGGAACAAGUCCGGCCCUUUCGGGAUGGAAUUUUUUGAGUGAAAAUUUUCUUUUUCGAGAGGGCCGGAUUGAGCGUACCAGUGGAAUAAGGAGCUGCAAACUUCGUGCCAGCAGCCGCGGUAAUACGAAGGCUCCAAGCGUUAUCCGGAUUUAUUGGGCGUAAAGGGUCUCCAGGCUGUUUUGUUAGUCCGGCGUUAAAUCUCACCGCUUAACGGGGAGAGUGCGUUGGAUACGGCAAAACUUGAGGCAAGAAGAGGCAUACGGAACUCAUGGGGUAGGGGGGAAAUCCGUUGAUAUCAUGGGGAACACCAAAUGCGAAGGCAGUAUGCUGGUCUUGUCCUGACGCUCAUGAGACGAAAGCGUGGGGAGCGAAUAGGAUUGACACUCGUCCCGGUAUUCAUUUGCUUAAAAAUAAAUGAAGACCGCGGACUCGCUAAGAGAAAAAGGAGAACGAAAGUGAAAUGUUUUAUCAAGAGUUCAAGCAAAGAAGCAAUUCACUCUGAUGUGGUUGAAUUUAUCUAUACACUUGGGAGUAUUCAAGGCAUUUCUGACAAUGGCGAUUUAGUUAUUGUAGAGGUGCUGCGAGAGGAUCUUUCUAAGUUAGAAGAAUAUUGUUCAGCGCAUGGAUUGGAACUUGAGAAAACAUUAGGUUUUUCUUUCUAGCGAACCGCAGGGUAUGCGGUGAGUCUGAUUCUCCGAAGCUCGAAAGAGCGAAGGAGGAAAACUAGUCCCCCCGAUGUGCGAUUCGCAUAACGGGGAUAAAAAACCUAUCCCGAUUUUGUAUGAAUCCGCCAUAGGCGGAGAGUCUACAAAAUCGAGGACCCGCCAAAGCCGUGAGGCGACGGCGGGGCUAUAUUCGGGAAAACCCUACUUUGUGAAAACGAAGGGGCAACCCGCAGGGAAGUCCGAUGCAACAGCGGACCCCUCAGAGACUAUACGCUGGGCCCGAAAUAAAACUCGGCGGCGAGUGAGUUACUCGCUCGCCCAAAUUUUUCUUUCGGUGAUGAUAUAGUCCGAACUCGGCCGUAAUGCCGAGAAACGAGCAGAAAUGUCUCGUUCCGCAAUUUAAAAUUGAAAAUUUAGAAUUUAAAAUUUCAAUUUUGUUGCGAGCAACAAAAUUGUAGAUACCCUAGUAGUCCACGCCCUAAACGAUGCAGACUCGUCAUUGGAAGUAUCGACCCUUUCAGUGGCCAAGCUUACGCGUUAAGUCUGCCGCCUGGGAAGUACGGCCGCAAGGCUAAAACUCAAAGGAAUAGACGGGAGUUCGCACAAGCGGUGGUUCAUGCGGUUCAAUUCGAUGACAACCGAGGAACCUCACCAGGGUUUGAAAUGCUGGAAAAAGUCGGGGGAAACCCCGAUGUACCACAAGGAUGCCAGCACAGGUGCUGCACGGUCCUCGUCAGUUCGUGAUGUGAACUGUUCCCUUAAGUGGGGUAACGAACGCAACCCCCAUCCCAUGUUACAAGUGUCAUGGGAAACUGCCUCCGUUUAGGGGGAGGAAGGUGGGGAUGACGCGAGAUCAGCGUGGCCCUCUGAUACCCUGGGCUACACGCAUGAAACAAUGGAGCCGACAGAGCGUCGCGAAGCCGCAAGGCGGAGCCAAUCGCAUCAAACGGCCCCUCAGUUCAGAUUGGAGUCUGCAACUCGACUCCAUGAAGAAGGAAUCGCUAGUAAACGCGGAUCAGCUAUGCCGCGUUGAAUACGUUCUCGAACUUUGUACUCACCGCCCGUCACGUCAAGAGAGCCGGUAGUAGCCGAAACCCGGGGUCAGCCCGGACUAAGCUAAGAUCGGUGAUAGGGACGAAGUCGUAACAAGGCAUCGGUAGCGGAAGCUGUCGAUGGAACAUUUC